rnacentral:rRNA from 1 species
UACGGGGGGUGCGAGCGUUGUCCGGAAUCACUGGGUGUAAAGGGCGCGUAGGUGGUCUGAUAAGGGUGUGGUGAAAGCCCGGGGCUCAACCCCGGGUCGGCCGUGGCCGACUGUUAGACUAGAGUGCUGUAGGGGCAGGCGGAAGUUCCGGGUGUAGCGGUGGAAUGCGUAGAGAUCCGGAGGAAGACCGGUGGCGAAGGCGGCCUGCUGGGCAGAUACUGACACUGAGGCGCGACAGCGUGGGGAGCAAACAGGG